CUGCCAGUUGUCACAUGCUUGUCUCAAAGAUUACCUCUUGCAUGUCUAAGUACAGAUUCUAAAACGAAUGAAACCGCGAAGGGCUCAUUAAAUCAGUUAUGAUUUAUUAGAUCGUGCGUUCCACAUGGAUAACUGUGGUAAUUCUAGAGCUAAUACAUGCAAAUGGCCCUGACUUACGGAGGGGCGCUUUUAUUAAAUCAAAAUCAAUCGGGGCAACCCGUUUUUGUGAUGACUCUGGAUAACUUUGUGCCGACCGCAUGGCCUUGUGCCGGCGGCGUAUCUUUCAAAUGUCUGCCCUAUCAACUUUCGAUGGUAGGUGACAUGCCUACCAUGGUUGUAACGGGUAACGGAAAAUCAGGGUUCGAUUCCGGAGAGGGAGCCUGAGAAACGGCUACCACAUCCAAGGAAGGCAGCAGGCACGCAAAUUACCCACUCCCGGCACGGGGAGGUAGUGACAAAAAAUAACAAUGCUGGGCGUUCAACGUCUGGUAAUUGGAAUGAGUACAAUCUAAAUCCCUUAACGAGGAUC
rnacentral:rRNA from 1 species